rnacentral:rRNA from 1 species
GACGAACGCUGGCGGCGUGCUUAACACAUGCAAGUCGAACGGAAAGGCCCUGCUUUUGUGGGGUGCUCGAGUGGCGAACGGGUGAGUAACACGUGAGUAACCUGCCCUUGACUUUGGGAUAACUUCAGGAAACUGGGGCUAAUACCGGAUAGGAGCUCCUGCUGCAUGGUGGGGGUUGGAAAGUUUCGGCGGUUGGGGAUGGACUCGCGGCUUAUCAGCUUGUUGGUGGGGUAGUGGCUUACCAAGGCUUUGACGGGUAGCCGGCCUGAGAGGGUGACCGGCCACAUUGGGACUGGGAUGCGGCCCAGACUCCUACGGGAGGCAGCAGUGGAGAAGAGUGCACAAUGGGCGGAAGCCUGAUGCAGCAACGCCGCGUGCGGGAUGACGGCCUUCGGUUUGUAAACCGCUUUCGCCUGUGACGAAGCGUGAGUGACGGUAAUGGGUAAAGAAGCACCGGCUAACUACGUG